UCAUUUGAAUGAAAAUGAUAAAU
rnacentral:snRNA from 1 species